GGGCCAUGGCUCAGUGGCAGAGUGUUUGCCUGGCAAGCAAGCGGUUCUAGGUUCAAUCCCUGGCAUCUCCA
rnacentral:tRNA from 1 species